GGCCAGAUCUUGACCCAACACAGGUUAAAGACAGCAUGAUACAUAUUUUAUCACAUGAGGUACUUGUGCCACAAUUUCACAAUAUUCUAUUCCUUAAAAUUGCAUUUUCAUGAAAAACUGACAUUACCAUUGUUUCUUUGUAUAGGGAACAGCACAAGGAAUUCCUGUUACUAGGAUACACCAAAUUCCUGAGGAAAGUGCAUUUGUAGUUGAGCACAGGGCCAACAUAGCAGCUAGAGGAAGAGGAGUUAGAGGAGCUGCUGCUUCUGCACAAACACCAGGCAGAGGAAGAGGAGCUGGAAGAGGUGCUGGUUCUGAACAAGCACAAGGCAGAGGAAGAGGAGCUGGAAGAGCUAGUGCUUCUGCACAAGCACC
rnacentral:lncRNA from 1 species